GACGAACGCUGGCGGCGUGCUUAACACAUGCAAGUCGAGCGGUAAGGCCCUUUCGGGGGUACACGAGCGGCGAACGGGUGAGUAACACGUGGGUGACCUGCCCUUAGCUCUGGGAUAAGCCUGGGAAACUGGGUCUAAUACCGGAUAUGACUCCAUGACGCAUGUUGUGGGGUGGAAAGCCUUGUGCGGCUAGGGAUGGGCCCGCGGCCUAUCAGCUUGUUGGUGGGGUGAUGGCCACCAAGGCGACGACGGGUAGCCGGCCUGAGAGGGCGACCGGCCACACUGGGACUGAGACACGGCCCAGACUCCUACGGGAGGCAGCAGUGGGGAAUCUUGCGCAAUGGGCGAAAGCCUGACGCAGCGACGCCGCGUGGGGGA
rnacentral:rRNA from 1 species